rnacentral:snRNA from 1 species
GUAUUGAAUAAUUUAGUACAUAUACUAAAAUUGGAACGAUACAGAGAUGAUUAGCAUGGCCCAUGCGCAAGGAUGUCACGCUAAAUCUUGAAGCGUUCCACAUUUUU